GAAAUUCAAAAACAGCUGCGAGACUGUCAUGUCCUCCUUGUUGCAGAAAGCCUUGACCCAGUUUCAGGGGAAAAGUUGGGCCAGACAGCUCAACAGAAGGAAGAGCAAAGGAAAGAAGUUAUGACGGUUUCUCAUAAUCUCCUGACUGAGCUGAAACUGUUUGGUGAGACGGCACAAGAG